rnacentral:lncRNA from 1 species
AGAGCUUUGAAAUUAACUUUCAUGUACAAGCAAGGGCUUUAUCUUUGGUAAUAUUAUCGAAACUCCAAAAACCUAUGAAAUAGUCGUGCGUGUCCUUCAAAGUCUGGUAGAUACAUGUAGUUUGUGUACCUACUCCAAACAGAGACAAAGUUGUGUCGCAUCCGGUCGGUAAUGUACAGCAGUUAGUAGUUUACAAAUUGUUGGGGAAAACAGACACAUAGUUAGUGAAUGGGUGAAAAUCUUCGUCCAUCCUUUGCACUGCUAAUUCUCCCCAUCUGCACCCACAACUCGCUUGAAUGUGUCAUACAUUUAUAGUAGUGAACACGAACACACAGA